ensembl:lincRNA
AUGUCUCUGAGGCCACGGCCCUGGCCCUGGCGAGCAGGCUGUGGCACGGGGCGGAGCGGCGCCACGCGCACCUGGGAGAGACGCUCUGGGGUUGGGGCGACCGUGGCUCUAAAGGCUGGUGCAGGAUGGGAGGGCAGCUGGGCGAGAGCUGGCCCUGCUGGGAAGCGAGGAGGCCCAAGGAAAGCGGCCGGGGACGGUCUGAGCAGCAUCCCAGAGGCCCUGCCUGGGCGCCCGAGGGUGAGGGAAGGGAGAGCCCGGGUGGCCCCCAGCUCCCCGCAGGGUUGGCUGAGCGCAGGGCGAUGGUCUCCCGUUGCAGGGAGAGGAGGACGGCAGAGGGAGGGAGCAAUGAGCUCCCUUCGGCGUGUGGGCGUAGGGGUGGAGAGGGGCGGCUGGAGGCACGGAUUCGGUAGGCGGCAAGGACACGGAGUGCGUGUGAGGAAGCCGGUCAUUCGUGGUUCUCUGGGCAUCACGGGGCCCCAGCCACGCUUAGCGGGCGCCAGGAUACACGCUCCCGUGUCCCUGCGUGUUCAGGCCGACGCUGCUACCAGCUUUCUGAGGGCAGCACGAUCAGGUAACUUGGACAAAGCUUUGGAUCACCUGCGGAACGGGGUAGAUAUCAACACCUGCAACCAGGUAAGCGAGAUGGCAGGCCUGUCCUCUCUGCGGUGCAGCUCCUGCCCGGUGCCGCUCGCUCAGAGCUUUGAAACUGCCUCUAUUAACCUCUUCCCAGCGGCCUCAAAAAUCCCCAAGGGCUCCCGCCAGAGGCAGGCCCUAACCUCCACGUCUCAUCGUGGCUGCCGGCCGGUCCCCCGCAGCCUCCUCUCAGAAGUGGCGGCUGGCCCCUGCUGCUGUCGCAGAACACGUGGCCUUUGGAUGCGGGCAGGAGGAAGGGCCUUUGAAGGGAGUUGUGUCAGUGGGGACAGCGAAUCCGCUUUCCACCAGGCCCUUUGCGGGUCCUCAGCCGGGCUGGGAGGAAACCAGGCCUCGCUGGGCUCGGUGCCCACGAGGGCAGGUCUGCGGGCGCGGCGGGCGGGAUGCCACGGGCGGGAUGCCUCGGGCCGGCCCGGGCCACUCCUCACCCUGAAGCAGGGCUCCGUGUCCACAGGGGGCUGGUGAGGACACACGAUGCGUCUGGGACGGACUGGAGGGCAGAGUGGGGUUUGGGGCCAGAGACCUAGGAACUAACUGACAGAGAGGGGGCUGCCCUCCAGGAAGAGGGCAGGUGUGUGCGAGGCUUGGGCUGCGGAUUGGUGACUUGCUGUUUUGGUUUGCUGCUAUUUGCCUGCUAAUAGAAUUGUUUAGGCAUACAUGCUAAUUUAGUUUCUGAUUUAGAAUAAAUUUACCAAUGGUGACUUUUUUUUUUUUACCAUCUUAAAAUUUGUUUUUAACUGUGACGAAACACACAACACAGCAGUUACCGUCAACCUUUUUGAAGCACAGAGUUCAGUAGUGUUCAAUCCAUUCACGUUGUGCAACCACCGCCACUCAUCUCCAGCACGCCUUUCUUCCUGCAGAACGGGGACUCUGUCCCCAUGAAACCGCCCCCCAGUCCCCCAGGCCCUAGCAGGCACCCUUCUCCUCUCAGUCCCCAAGAAUCUGACUCCUCUGGGGACUGACCUCAUAGAAGUGGAAUCCUGUGAUCGUUGUUGUCGUUGUUGUCGUAGUUCUGUGACCAGUCUUUCACUUAGCACAGCGUCCUCAAGGUUCAUGCAUGUUGUAGUGGAUUGAGCGGCUUUCACAAGCCAGCAGGGGCAGAUUUCCAGAACCAGCGUAAAGUUUUCCUUGGGCAGCCCCAGCCCCCCUGCCCCUCUGUUCCCUGCCUCUCUUGACCCCGCUUAAAAUGCAGGAUGCUACUUGCUCUCUCUCCCCCAGGGCGGAGACCCCAGUUGGGUGCAGCUGGUCUUGGGUGGCACAAAUUCACAGCUCAGAGAUCAGAAAGGACGGAGGAGGGGUGAGGUGUGGCGUGGGACAGAGGAGGUGUAAGGAAGCAGAGGCCCCUGCAGUGAGCGUCACAGUGAGGGUGAGGCGGGCGGCCUGGGUGGAGCGUGCACACUGGACCAGAAGGAGAGGCCCUCCCCUGGAAACGCCAACGCCGUGUAGCCCGGCCGAGGGCGCACAGGGCUUCUCACCAACACUGGAGCUGCAGCUUGCCUUUGGGUAGCAGAUUGGGACCCUGAACCCAGCUGCAGCGCGGCGGGGGCAGGGUGAGAGUCCUGGCCUUAGCCUGGCCCUGGAGUGGGGGCUCAGGAUGUCUUUAUGCCACACCCCCGAAAACAGCUGCACAAGCCGUGGCCACCUUGUCCCAGGCCCCCGUGGGCGAGGGGCUGCUUCCUCUCUGCACUCGGGGGCCUUCCUGGGCACGGAGAGACGCCCGCUGUGAGGCCGGCUUUGUCCGCCCUGCGGCUGGAGAGGGACAGACGGGCUCCCCGCGGCGCCGCCCUCUGUGGGGGCGAGUGGGACCUGCCAGGGUUAAGGUCCCAGCUCUCCAAGGAACCCGUUCCGCUGCAACGGGGACGGCCCAGCGUGCCUAAGGCUCGAGCCACCGUUCAUUUUCUGUGUGAAACUGGAAGAUUCUGAUGACACCCGGGGAAUGGCCCCGUCCUGCUUGGUCUCCUGCUGGCGAGGCCUUGGGCGCAACCGCCGGCCCCUCUCUGCCUCCCUCGCAGGGCACCUCCUCGGUUCUGGGGCGCCGAGAGCAGCGGGCGCCGGGACGUUGUUUGUGCUUUGUGGACGCCAUUUCAGACCCUGGGCACCAGCGGCUGUGAGCCCUGCUGGAGGCCGGCGGGGCGGGGGGGCACCUGCCUCGGGCGGGACGCAGCGCUGGCGAGGCCAGCCUCUCUCAGAGAGGACAGCGCCGAGUGUCAGCGGGGUUGGACGGAGGGACUUGCC